rnacentral:rRNA from 1 species
GACGAACGCUGGCGGCGUGCUUAACACAUGCAAGUCGAGCGGUAAGGCCCUUUCGGGGGUACACGAGCGGCGAACGGGUGAGUAACACGUGGGUGACCUGCCCUCAGCUCUGGGAUAAGCCUGGGAAACCGGGUCUAAUACCGGAUAUGACUCCAUGACGCAUGUUGUGGGGUGAAAGCCUUGUGCGGCUGAGGAUGGGCCCGCGGCCUAUCAG